AUGCAACAUCUCCUCGCGGGCUGCUCCUUCUCCCGCCAGGUAUGGCAUGAGGUGCUAUCUUGGUGCCGCUCCACUGCCAUGACCCCGAGCCAUGACGACGAGUUCGGCGCCUGGUUGACCUCCGCUAUCGCCGUCACGCCGCGCUGUCUUUGAUGCGGGCUCGCUUCCAUCGCCAUCCUCACUGCUUGGUGGCUUUGGAAGCACCGCAAUGGCUGCACCUUUGACGGCGAUCGCCCCUCUGUGAGCCGCGCCGUCAAUGCCAUCCAGGAAGAGGCAAGACUCUGGGCACGCGCGGGUGCCACACACUUGGCACUGAUCUUACCGGAGACGUAG
rnacentral:rRNA from 1 species